rnacentral:rRNA from 1 species
UACGGAGGGAGCUAGCGUUGUUCGGAAUUACUGGGCGUAAAGCGCGCGUAGGCGGCUUUGUAAGUUAGAGGUGAAAGCCCGGAGCUCAACUCCGGAACUGCCUUUAAAACUGCAUCGCUUGAAUCCAGGAGAGGUUAGUGGAAUUCCGAGUGUAGAGGUGAAAUUCGUAGAUAUUCGGAAGAACACCAGUGGCGAAGGCGACUAACUGGACAUGUAUUGACGCUGAGGUGGCGAAAAGUGUGG